CUGAAACUUGUGGAUGUAAGAGUGGACACAUAAGAAGAGAGUUUAGAUGGUUUUGUCGUCCAGAUGCUAACGUGAUAAAUGAAUGUGGAUACAAAAGACGAGCAACGAUAAGCUAAACUAGACUUCAUGAGGGUUUGAGUUCGCUACAUUUGCUUGUGGUUCUUGGUUGUGAUUUCUCUGGUUGCUUUUGUCGUACGUCCUGAUCUUAAUAUUUGAAGAAGGAGACGUGGCUCACUUGA